rnacentral:rRNA from 1 species
AUUGAACGCUGGCGGCAUGCCUUACACAUGCAAGUCGAGCGGCAGCGCGGGGGCAACCCUGGCGGCGAGCGGCGAACGGGUGAGUAAUACAUCGGAACGUGUCCAGUAGCGGGGGAUAACCUGUCGAAAGAUAGGCUAAUAACGAAUACGACAUACGGGUGAAAGCGGGGGACCGCAAGGACUAGAACUAUUGGAGCGGCCGAUGUCGGACUAGCUAGUUGGCGGGGUAACGGCCCACCAAGGCGACGAUCCGUAGCUGGUCUGGGAGGACGACCAGCCACACUGGAACUGAGACACGGUCCAGACUCCUACGGGAGGCAGCAGUGGGGAAUUUUGGACAAUGGGCGCAAGCCUGAUCCAGCCAUGCCGCGUGAGUGAAGAAGGCCUUCGGGUUGUAAAGCUCUUUCGGCGGGGACGAAACGGUCCGUGCCAACACCACGGAUCAAUGACGGUACUCGCAGAAGAAGCACCGGCUAACUACGUGCCAGCCGCCGCGGUAA